UACAGAGGGGGCAAGCGUUGUUCGGAAUCAUUGGGCGUAAAGCGCGCGUAGGCGGCCCUGUAAGUCCGUUGUGAAAGUCAAAGGCUCAACCUUUGAAAGCCGAUGGAUACUGCAGGGCUGGAGUCCGGAAGAGGCGAGUGGAAUUCCUGGUGUAGCGGUGGAAUGCGCAGAUAUCAGGAGGAACACCAAUAGCGAAGGCAGCUCGCUGGGACGGUACUGACGCUGAGGCGCGAAAGCGUGGGGAGCGAACAGG
rnacentral:rRNA from 1 species